rnacentral:ncRNA from 1 species
AGAACCUGCCCUUGGGAGGGGAACAACAACUGGAAACGGUUGCUAAUACCCCGUAGGCUGAGGAGCAAAAGGAGAAAUCCGCCCAAGGAGGGGCUCGCGUCUGAUUAGCUAGUUGGUGAGGCAAUAGCUUACCAAGGCGAUGAUCAGUAGACGGUCCGAGAGGAUGAUCAGCCACACUGGGACUGAGACACGGCCCAGACUCCUACGGGAGGCAGCAGUGGGGAAUUUUCCGCAAUGGGCGAAAGCCUGACGGAGCAAUGCCGCGUGGAGGUGGAAGGCCUACGGGUCGUCAACUUCUUUUCUC